CCUACGGGAGGCAGCAGUGGGGAAUAUUGCACAAUGGGCGAAAGCCUGAUGCAGCAACGCCGCGUGAGCGAUGAAGGCCUUCGGGUCGUAAAGCUCUGUCCUCAAGGAAGAUAAUGACGGUACUUGAGGUGGAAGCCCCGGCUAACUACGUGCCAGCAGCCGCGGUAAUAUGUUGGGGGCGAGGGUUAUCCGGAAUUACUGGGCGUAAAGGGUGCGUAGGUGGGUUCUUAUGUCAGAGGUGAAAGGCUACGGCUAAACCGUAGUAAGCAUUUGUAACUGGGAAACUUGAGUGCAGGAGAGGAGAGUGGAAGUCCUGGUGUAGCGGUGGAAUGCGUAGAUAUUAGGAGGAACACCAGUUGCGAAGGCGGCUCUCUGGACUGUAACUGACGCUGAGGCACGAAAGCGUGGGGAGCAAACAGGAUUAGAUACCCCAGUAGUC
rnacentral:rRNA from 1 species